rnacentral:snRNA from 1 species
GUACUCAUUUCAGCAGUAUAUAUACUAAAAUUAGAAUGAUAUAAAAAAGUUAGCAUGCACAAGGUUGACGUGAAAAUAUGUGAAGCACUCCAUAGUUUU